GCACUACAGCAAACUCUGCCCAGCUUGGUUGGUGCUGGGUCAGGGUCAAUAUGGUGCCAGAGUAACUCGGAGUGUAUCCAGAUGAGCCUGUCUAUCCUGCGGAGCUUGUCCCUACAACCUCUGAUACAUGA